UGGGAAUCUUGGACAAUGGGGGAAACCCUGAUCCAGCCAUGCCGCGUGAGUGAUGAAGGCCUUCGGGUUGUAAAACUCUUUCGACGGGGACGAUAAUGACGGUACCCGUAGAAGAAGCUCCGGCUAACUUCGUGCCAGCAGCCGCGGUAAUACGAAGGGGGCUAGCGUUGUUCGGAAUUACUGGGCGUAAAGCGCGCGCAGGCGGUUCUCCAAGUCAGUGGUGAAAGCCCGGAGCUCAACUCCGGAAUUGCCAUUGAAACUGCAGAACGUGAGGACGAGAGAGGUGAGUGGAAUUCCCAGUGUAGAGGUGAAAUUCGUAGAUAUUGGGAAGAACACCGGUGGCGAAGGCGGCUCACUGGCUCGUUUCUGACGCUCAGGCGCGACAGCGUGGGGAUCAAAC
rnacentral:rRNA from 1 species